UGUACACACCGCCCGUCGGUACUAUCGAUUGAGUGGCUUAGUGAGUCCCCCAGAUUUUUUGACUCCAACUCCUUCGGAGUUGCGGGGGAAAAAGAAGGGGCGCAAACUUGGUCAUUUAGAGAAAGUAAAAGUCGUAACAAGGUUUCCGUAGGUGAACCUGCGGAAGGAUCAUUA
rnacentral:rRNA from 1 species